ensembl:lncRNA
UGUCAUGGUUUUGUAACUUCGCUAUUGGUAUUCCACAUCAUAACAUCAUGGACAAAAGAGAAGAACUACGUAUCCCAGAGGACCUCACGGUCAGAGAAGGAAGACACAUCACGGAAGAUACGUCAUCUGGUUGCGCGCGGUGCUUCUUCACUUUCGCUUGCUGCCGGGAGAGGAGUGGGUGUGCUUUCCAAGCCGGGCGCCUUCAUCAAGGUUUUCAAGGGAUACUGAUGCACACGAAACAUGAGGGAACGGUAAACUCUCCAAUCGGGUGAGAUCAUAUCCCAUUUUAUUAAUGGAAGUUUCUUCUGGAGACUGUAAGAAACAGCACCCCUUGUAAGAACUGCUGAGCAAACAGAAAUGCAGAAUCUUUGUUUAAUACUAGAAAUUCAACAAACACAUCGGAAUCCAAAGCGGAGAAAGAAUAAACUAGAAGGCGUAAUACAAAGUAUCCAGCCAUUAUGAUCUCUGUUAUCUCUAAAAUAAAAAAUAGAAAUGGAAAAGAAAAAUAUUUCAGUGCAUUUUGUUGUAGAUACCUAUUGUGCUGUAUGUGGAAGGACUGCCUUAUUGAGCAGAACAAAGUUGAUAAUUUCACUAACUUGUGUUGCUUUGCAAAUAUGUGACCAAAGUGUGAAUUGAGUGUGAAUUAGUUUUCAAGUGCAAGUUAGCACAUAGUAAAAUAUUAAGGUUUCC